rnacentral:rRNA from 1 species
CCUACGGGAGGCAGCAGUGGGGAAUCUUGCGCAAUGGGCGAAAGCCUGACGCAGCCAUGCCGCGUGUAUGAUGAAGGUCUUAGGAUUGUAAAAUACUUUCACCGGUGAAGAUAAUGACUGUAGCCGGAGAAGAAGCCCCGGCUAACUUCGUGCCAGCAGCCGCGGUAAUACGAAGGGGGCUAGCGUUGCUCGGAAUUACUGGGCGUAAAGGGAGCGUAGGCGGACAUUUAAGUCAGAGGUGAAAUCCCGGAGCUUAACUUCGGAACUGCCUUUGAUACUGGGUGUCUUGAGUGUGAGAGAGGUAUGUGGAACUCCGAGUGUAGAGGUGAAAUUCGUAGAUAUUCGGAAGAACACCAGUGGCGAAGGCGACAUACUGGCUCAUUACUGACGCUGAGGCUCGAAAGCGUGGGGAGCAAACAGGAUUAGAUACCCUGGUAGUCCACGCCGUAAACGAUGAUUGCUAGUUGUCGGGAAGCUUGCUUCUCGGUGACGCNGCUACGCAUAAGACACUCCGCCGUGGGAGGUACGGUCGCGAGAAUUAAACGUUAAAACGGUAAGUUAGUACGGCGUGAGACGUGCGACGACGACGACGAGGGAGGUAGG